UAGAAGGACUUGACAGGGAAUCCCUGCUGAA
rnacentral:piRNA from 1 species